rnacentral:rRNA from 1 species
GGUUAAGUUACAAAGGGCGCACGGUGGAUGCCUUGGCACUAGGAGCCGAUGAAGGACGGAACUAAUACCGAUAUGCUUCGGGGAGCUAUAAGUAAGCUUUGAUCCGGAGAUUUCCGAAUGGGGGAACCCAGUACACAUCAGUGUAUUGCCUGCAAGUGAAUACAUAGCUUGUUGGCGGCAGACGCGGGGAACUGAAACAUCUCAGUACCCGCAGGAAGAGAAAGAAAACUCGAUUCCCAUAGUAGCGGCGAGCGAAGUGGGAAGAGCCCAAACCGAGAAGCUUGCUUCUCGGGGUUGUAGGACUGGACAUUGGAGUUACCAAAGUUCGACGUAGUCGAAGUCAGCUGGAAAGCUGCGCCAUAGAAGGUGAAAGCCCUGUAAACGAAACGGCGGACUCUCCGUCCAGGAUCCUGAGUACGGCGGAACACGUGAAAUUCCGUCGGAAUCCGGGAGGACCAUCUCCCAAGGCUAAAUACUCCCUAGUGACCGAUAGUGAACCAGUACCGUGAGGGAAAGGUGAAAAGCACCCCGGAAGGGGAGUGAAACAGUUCCUGAAACCGUGUGCCUACAAUUAGUCAAAGCCCGUUAACGGGUAAUGGCGUGCCUUUUGUAGAAUGAACCGGCGAGUUACGUUUGCCUGCGAGGUUAAGAUGAAAAGUCGGAGCCGGAGCGAAAGCGAGUCUGAACAGGGCGCUUCAGUAGGUAGAUGUAGACCCGAAACCAAGUGACCUACCCAUGACCAGGUUGAAGGUGUGGUGAAACACACUGGAGGACCGAACCCAUGUAUGUUGAAAAAUGCUGGGAUGAGUUGUGGGUAGCGGUGAAAUUCCAAACGAACUUGGAGAUAGCUGGUUCUCUCCGAAAUAGCUUUAGGGUUAGCCUCGGAGGAUGGAUCAUGGAGGUAGAGCACUGUUUGAACUAGGGGCCCGUCAAGGGUUACUGAAUUCAGAUAAACUCCGAAUACCAUUGAUCUUACUCCGGGAGUCAGACAGUGAGCGAUAAGGUCCAUUGUCGAAAGGGGAACAGCCCAGAUCACCAGUUAAGGUCCCUAAAUUUAUGCUAAGUGGAAAAGGAUGUGGCGUUGCACAGACAACUAGGAUGUUGGCUCAGAAGCAGCCACCAUUUAAAGAGUGCGUAAUAGCUCACUAGUCGAGUGGCACUGCGCCGAAAAUAUACCGGGGCUAAGCAUAAUACCGAAACUGUGGGUGCACCCGUCAGGGUGCGCGGUAGGAGAGCGUUCUAAGGGCGUUGAAGGUCGAUCGUGAGGACGGCUGGAGCGCUUAGAAGUGAGAAUGCCGGCAUGAGUAGCGAAAGAUCAGUGAGAAUCUGAUCCACCGUAUGACUAAGGUUUCCUGGGGAAGGCUCGUCCUCCCAGGGUUAGUCGGGAUCUAAGGCGAGGCCGCAAGGCGUAGUCGAUGACAAGCAGGUUGAGAUUCCUGCACUAGUUUAUUUUGUUUAAGCGAUGGAGGGACGCAGGAGGCUAAGGAAAGCGCACGGCUGGAAAAGUGCGUCCAAGCAGUAAGUCCGGUAGCGAGUGAAAUGCUUGCCGCCUUAAGGACAAGCUGUGAUGGGGAGCGAAAUUAAAGUAGCGAAGUUCCUGAUGUCACACUGCCAAGAAAAGCUUCUAGUGAGAAAUAAACUACCCGUACCGCAAACCGACACAGGUAGUCGAGGAGAGUAUCCUCAGGUGAGCGAGCGAACUCUCGUUAAGGAACUCGGCAAAAUGACCCCGUAACUUCGGAAGAAGGGGUGCUGACCGCAAGGUCAGCCGCAGUGAAUAGGCCCAAACAACUGUUUAUCAAAAACACAGGUCUCUGCUAAAUCGUAAGAUGAUGUAUAGGGGCUGACGCCUGCCCGGUGCUGGAAGGUUAAGAGGAUGAGUUAGCGCAAGCGAAGCCCAGAAUUGAAGCCCCAGUAAACGGCGGCCGUAACUAUAACGGUCCUAAGGUAGCGAAAUUCCUUGUCGGGUAAGUUCCGACCCGCACGAAAGGCGUAAUGAUUUGGGCACUGUCUCAACGAGAGACUCGGUGAAAUUAUAGUACCCGUGAAGAUGCGGGUUACCCGCGACAGGACGGAAAGACCCCAUGGAGCUUUACUGUAGCUUGAUAUUGAGUGUUGGUACCGCUUGUACAGGAUAGGUAGGAGCCGUAGAGAUCGGAACGCUAGUUUCGAUGGAGGCAUUGGUGGGAUACUACCCUAGCUGUAUGAACACUCUAACCCGCGCCACU